rnacentral:rRNA from 1 species
GACAGAGGUGCCGAGCGUUAGGCGGAAUCACUGGGCUUAAAGCGCACGUAGGCGGCUUAGCAAGUCGGAAGUGAAAUCCCUCGGCUCAACCAAGGAAGUGCUUUCGAAACUGCUGAGCUUGAGUACUUAAGAGGAUCGCGGAAUUCCCGGUGUAGAGGUGAAAUUCGUAGAUAUCGGGAGGAACACCAGUGGCGAAGGCGGCGAUCUGGGAAGAUACUGACGCUGAGGUGCGAAAGCGUGGGGAGCAAACAGG